rnacentral:rRNA from 1 species
GACGAACGCUGGCGGCGUGCUUAACACAUGCAAGUCGAACGGAAAGGCCCUGCUUUUGUGGGGUGCUCGAGUGGCGAACGGGUGAGUAACACGUGAGUAACCUGCCCUUGACUUUGGGAUAACUUCAGGAAACUGGGGCUAAUACCGGAUAGGAGCUCCUGCUGCAUGGUGGGGGUUGGAAAGUUUCGGCGGUUGGGGAUGGACUCGCGGCUUAUCAGCUUGUUGGUGGGGUAGUGGCUUACCAAGGCUUUGACGGGUAGCCGGCCUGAGAGGGUGACCGGCCACAGUGGGAUGGGGGUGCGGCCCAGACUCCAUCGGGAGGCAGGAGUGGGGAAUAUUGCGCGAUGGGCGGAAGCCGGAUGCAGCAACGCCGCGUGCGGGAUGACGGCCUUCGGGUUGGAAACCGCUUUCGCCUGUGACGAAGCGUGAGUGACGGUAAUGGGGAAAGAAGCACCGGCUAACUACUG